UGGAAUUGAUCUGGACAGUGUGCUUUGUUGUGUUGAUCCGAUCUACCCACUUCACUUCAAGUCAAUCUACAUAAAAAUAUUAAACACACACAAGUAAUCUUAUUGAAGCUUAGUAAGUUCAUAGGUUUAAAAGUAAUGCUUACCAAACAUAAUAUUUCCAAACAAUACCAAAACAUUUACUAAAGUUUCCUACGAUUCACAACCAUUGUUAUAAUAAUUCACAUAGUUGAGCUCAACAGUAACAACUACUCAAUCUCUUUCAUUUGGAUCACUUCUCUUUUAUUUCUUAUAAUCAAAUUAGGAAACGGCUUACGAAAUUGAGUACGUCAUUGCUCAAUGCCACGAUUCACGACUCAGUAUGGUUUUCCUCAUUGAAAUACCAUACCUACAUUUUUCAACUCGGUAUGGGAAAUGCCAUACCUACAUUUCUUAACUCAGUAUGGAUUUGAUAAUACCAUACCUACAUUUCACAGCUCGGUAUGGAUAAUACCAUACAUACAUUUCACAACUCAGUAUGGAUGACUCCAUACCUACAUUUCACACUUUUCCAUGGAACAACCAUGGUCUUAUCCGUCAAUUCAUCACACGUCACGAUACGAACGUACUUAAUCCUGCGUUUUUCUUAAUUUGCAUUUCCACAUUUAUUCUUUCAUUAACAAAAUUUUACAUAAUCCCACAACAAAUUCAUAUAUAAUAACACAUUAUAUACUUCAAUCAUUCACAAAUAAACAUCUAAAUUCAACCAUAUGAACUUACCUGGCUAAUUUGCAGAAGAUAUUGAAAUUUAGGGACUAUUCCGCAACUUUUUCUUUUUCUCGUUCUUCUUUGGAUUCUUGAUCUAUAAUAUAAAAUAUUUCUACUCAUUAGCAUUUAUUUGAUUUCUAUUUCACUUCACAAUUUAUGCUGUUCAAAUUUUGAAAUUGCACUUUUACCCCAAAAUUUACAGUUUUCACAAUUUAGUCCCUGCUCAAUUCACCCAUCAAUUGAACUAAUUUUUCUCAAUUAAUACUUUAUUUUAUCAUUAUAAACUAUUUCAAAACCUUUUAUAUUCUUAAUUUCAACAGAAACCUUCAAUUCACAACUUUUUCACAAUUAGGUCCUAAAUAUCAUUUCCUAUCAAAAUCACUUAAUAAAACCACCUUAAUAUGAAAUUAGAACUUAAAUUUCAUAAUAAUUCAUCAUAAACUUCCCUUAUCCAUCCAGGGUAACUUCCAAUUUCACCCAUAAAAUCAAAAACUAAUGAAUUCUAUAAGUGGACCUAAUUGUAAAAGUCAUAAAAACAUAAAAAUUAUCAAGAAAAAGCAAGAAUUAAACUCACAUGAUGAAAAAAUAUGAAAAACCAGCUUUCUCCAGACCUUCUAUGGCAUUUUGGCUGAGAAAAUAUGAAGAAAUGUCUAGAUUUUUCAAUUACAUCAUUAUUUAACUAUUAACUUUUAUGCUAUUUCCAAUUUUUCCCCUUGUUCACAUUGUUUUCUUGCUUAUUUCAUACCUAAACCGUCCAGCCAUUAACCUUUGGGUCUAAUUGCUCUUUAAAUCCAUCUUUUUAAAUACUUAAGCUAUUUACUCACAAUUUAACAAAUUUUGCGCUAUUUUCAAUUUAGUCCUUUUUAAUUAAUUAGCCAUCCAAACGUUAAAAUUUUCUAACGAAACUUUACUACUAACUCAAUGACACUCCAUAAAUAUUUAUAAAAAUAUUUAUAGCUCGAUUUUCAAUUUUGAGGUCUCGAUACCUCGUUUUUGACCCGUUUACCUAAUAAAUUCUUUUAAUUCACUAAUUUCACCAUUUCACAAAUUCUUUUAAAUUCUUACUUGACUCAUAAAUAUUAAAUUACUAUCUUGUUCAAUAUUAUUUGUCGAAUUUAGUGAUCUCAAAUCACUAUUUCCGACACCACUGAAAAUUAGGCCGUUACAGAAGCUCGACAGCAAGUUAUAAUGACUGAGGUUCCUACCUCAGCCAAUUUAGUUUCUCAGCAAGCGUCAGACUCAGAUAGCAAUAGUCGUUCUUCAUCAUAUCGACCUUCCACUACUUGAGGUCGCGUUCAGUGCCAGUUGUGUGGAAAGAUGGGACACCUUGUUGACCAUUGUUACCAUCGGUUUGAUACUUCAUACAAAAGCAUGAGCUACAGGCCUCCACCGCAGGUAAAUAUGUGUGUUUAUGGUCUUGGUUCAUCUCCUUGGAUGUAGCCUUCUGUGCCUAUGAUGCCUUCUAUGGUUUCAUUACCGCCUGUACCUUGGCCACCUUCACCAGGCUGGUCUUAUCAAGCAGCACCUCCAUCUUAGACAAAUCUAUUUAUGAGCAAUCAUUUACAACCUGCUAAUACAUCUCCUUCUACUACCCCACCGUCUAAUGCUUAUCUUGCCACAGCUGAAACAGUCGAUGACAACACUUGGUACCCUGACUCUGGGGCCACUCAUCACCUUACUCAAUCAACUUCUAAUCUUGGUGAAAGUUCUUCUCAAAGUGGACCAGGUAAGGUCUAUGUUGGAAAUGGUAAUGCCCUACCUGUACUAUGUUCUGGUCAGUCAUUUCUGCUUACUAGAUCACAGCCAUUGUAUAUGAAAUCUCUAUUAUUUGCUCCUGGAAUAACCAAAAACCUGCUCUCUGUGUCUAAAUUUACACGAGAUAAUCAGGUCAUGUUUGAGUUCCUACCUACAUAAUGUCAAGUGCGGGACUUGAAAACCAAUGAGGUACUUCUUCAUGGCUCGAUGCAUCAUGGGCUUUACAAGUUGCAUUUAAAAGCUGCUGCAGAACGUGAUCAAGUUACAUCUAAUGCUCAUUGCUUCACUGCUAGUACCCGUGUUCCUCUAAGUGUAUGGCACUCUAUGCUAAGACACCCUUGUAAAAGUGUUCUGCUCAAAGCUUUACAAAGUUGUAAUAUGCUAAUUGAUGUCAAUAAAGAAGAUUUUGCAUGCAUUGCGUGUCACCUUGGCAAGGAACAUAAGCUUCCCUUCUCCAAUUCAAUAUCUGCAUAUUCUGCCCCUCUGUAACUGGUAGUAGCAGAUGUCUGGGGACUAGCUCCGAUAACCUCAAAUGGGUUUCGGUAUUAUGUAGCCUUCACGGAUGCUUACACUCGGUACGCGUAGGUCUAUUUUUUGCGUAGGAAAUCUGAGGUUCUUACUAUUUUUCCUCAAUUUCAUAAACAGGCUGAAAGAGUGCUUGAGGUGUCUCUUCGAACCUUACAGACGGAUGGAGGGGGUGAGUUUCAAGUGUUGAAGUAGUAUCUUAGUCAGCAUGGGAUUACAUAGCGCUUUACAUGUCUCUACACCUCAGCUCAAAAUGGCUUGGUUGAAUGUAAGCAUCGUUAGAUCGUUGAAACAGGCCUUUCCAUGCUGGCACAUGCGUCCAUGCCCAUUACCUACUGGAAUGAUGCCUUCAGCUGUGCUGUUUAUCUUCUUAACCGAUUACCUACAGCUCCCUUAGCCUUUGUCUUUCCUUAUGAGAAGCUGUUUCAAACCAAACCCAGCUACUUGUUUUCUUAGAACAUUUGGCUACCUUUGCUUUCUAAAUCUCAGGCCCUAUAACAGCCAUAAGCUUUUGUUUCAUUCUACCCCUUGUACCUUCUUGGGUUACUCAUCUCUUCAUAAAAGGGUAUAGGUGUCAAGCUAGCAAUGGCCGAGUUUAUAUUUCUCGACAUGUCACCUUUCAUGAGUUUGUGUUUCCCUUUGCAAGUAUCCCCACCAGUCAUUCCUCAUCCAAGCCAUACCCUCAAUAUAGC
rnacentral:lncRNA from 1 species